AGAGUUUGAUCCUGGCUCAGGGUUAACGCUGGCGGCGUGCCUAACACAUGCAAGUCGAACGGUUCUAAGCGCGAGCUUAGGAUAGUGGCGAACGGGUGAGUAAAAGGUAGGAAUCUACCCCUUGGACGGAGAUAGCUACUGGAAACGGUAGGUAAACUUCGGUAAGCCCGAGAGGGGAAAGUGGUGAGACAGCCGAGGGAUGAGCCUACUCUCCAUCAGGUAGUUGGUGAGAUAAAAGCUUACCAAGCCGAUGACGGAUAACCGGUGUGAGAGCAUGAACGGUCACAAGGGCACUGAGAGACGGGCCCUACUCCUACGGGAGGCAGCAGUGGGGAAUCUUGGACAAUGGGCGAAAGCCUGAUCCAGCGACGCCGCGUGGAGGAAGAAGUCCUUCGGGAUGUAAACUUCUGAACUAGCCGAAUAAAAGGCCUGUGGACACACAGGAGAAGAAAGUAGGCUAGGAAAAGUCCCGGCUAACUACGUGCCAGCAGCCGCGGUAAGACGUAGGGGGCAAGCGUUACCCGGAAUUACUGGGCGUAAAGGGGGCGUAGGCGGUAAAAGAAGUCAUCUGUGAAAACCUAUUGCUCAACGAUAGGCUAGCGGAUGAAACUGAAUUACUUGAGGGCACCAGAGGUAGACGGAAUUACCCGAGUAGGGGUGAAAUCCGCAGAUACGGGUAGGAACGCCGGUGGAGAAGUCGGUCUACUGGGGUGCACCAGACGCUGAGGCCCGAAAGCUAGGGGAGCAAACCGGAUUAGAUACCCGGGUAGUCCUAGCCGUAAACGAUGCUCACUAGGUGUAGGGAGUGAUAAACUCUCCGUGCUGAAGCGAACGCGCUAAGUGAGCCGCCUGGGGAGUACGUCCGCAAGGAUGAAACUCAAAGGAAUUGACGGGGGUCCGCACAAGCGGUGGAGCAUGUGGUUUAAUUCGAUGGUAACCGAAGAACCUUACCAGGGAUUGACAUGUAACUGAAGGUAGAGAAAUCUACUGGCCUGCUGCAAAGCGGGAGGUUACACAGGUGGUGCACGGCCGUCGUCAGCUCGUGCCGUGAGGUGUUGGGUUAAGUCCCGCAACGAGCGCAACCC
rnacentral:rRNA from 1 species